rnacentral:rRNA from 1 species
AGUCCUACGGGGGGCAGCAGUGGGGAAUAUUGCGCAAUGGAGGAAACUCUGACGCAGUGACGCCGCGUAUAGGAAGAAGGUUUUCGUAUUGUAAACUAUUGUCGAUAGGGAAGAAAAAAGACUGUACCUAUCAAGAAAGCUCCGGCUAACUACGUGCCAGCAGCCGCGGUAAUACGUAGGGAGCAAGCGUUAUCCGGAAUUAUUGGGUGUAAAGGGUGCGUAGACGGGAUGGCAAGUUAGUUGUGAAAUACCUCGGCUCAACUGAGGCACUGCAACUAAAACUAACAUGA